rnacentral:rRNA from 1 species
GACGAACGCUGGCGGCGUGCCUAAUACAUGCAAGUUGAGCGCUGAAGGUUGGUACUUGUGCCCACUGGAUGAGCAGCGAACGGGUGAGUAACGCGUGGGGAAUCUGCCUUUGAGCGGGGGACAACAUUUGGAAACGAAUGCUAAUACCGCAUAAAAACUUUAAACACAAGUUUUACGUUUGAAAGAUGCAAUUGCAUCACUCAAAGAUGAUCCCGCGUUGUAUUAGCUAGUUGGUGAGGUAAGGGCUCACCAAGGCGAGGAUACAUAGCCGACCUCAGAGGCGGAGCGGCCACAUUGGGACUGAGACACGGCCCAAACUCCUACGGGAGGCAGCAGUAGGGGAUCUUCGGCAAUGGACGAAAGGCUGAACGAGCAACGCCGCGUGAGUGAAGAAGGUUGUCGGAUCGUAAAACUCUGUUGGUAGAGAAGAACGUUGGUGAGAGUGGAAAGCGCAUCAAGUGACGGUAACUACACAGAAAGGGACGGCUAACUACGUG